AUGGACCCCACCACGGAGGCCGCACACUCAGCGGCGAUAGAGCCGAAUACUGACUUCACCUCCUACGAGACUCGUGUUACCGAACCGUUGGAUUCGUCCUCGGCCAUGGACUCCGAGCCGCCUGCGUCCGCGCCCAUCGAAUCCGAUUGGGCACCGAUCAUGGAGUUUACCUCCGCGGAUAUCUUUCAGCACUCGCCCUUUGGCGACGUAUUAAACUCGUUGAGGUCUCUCCCCUUGUCAGGAGACCCUUGGCCGAACUAUGUCCGGCUAGAAUGGGAUGCGGCCGAUGAAGAAAUUCGCUCCCCACCCACCACCCACUUAGUAGCCACUGUCGAUGAUUUAAUCGACAUGCUCGACUUCGGUUCCGAAGACAUCGACGGUCUGGACGACGAUGUAGGAGAUGAACAAGAACCACCACCCACAGGGCGCUGGACUGCCACCUCAUCGUAUGAUAUAUACAUGGUGGACACCCCCAAAGAAGGCGAUGACGAUAAGACAACGGAGGAUAAUCCCUCCAAGAAGCAAUCUAAGCACCGACGUCAGCGGCGCCGCUCUAAGUCCCGCCAUAGCAAAAGUAGCGAUACCGGCACAAGAGACAAUAACGCUCUAGAUAGUGCUGAAGACGACGACAAUCCCCUCCAGCCAGACCUCGAGCGGGAGGAUGAACAAGCUAGCCCUCCGGAACAGGCAGCAAAUGGAGAAUCAGAGGAUGACAAUUAUAUGCCUCUCUCCGAAGACGAAGUGAGCCUCGGUGACGAAGAAUUUAUCGUGCCUGAGGAUCCCGUCGAGCAGGAGCGCUUCAAGCGCCGGCUUAUAGCCACAGCAAACAGCCUGAAGAAAAAGCAACAACAGCUUCGAGCUGAUCAAGAUCUGCUAGCGGACAGAUGGACUGAAGUCCUGGCAGCCGAGGAAUACGAACUCGAGCGCCCAACCAAGAGUUACCCAAAGUGCAGGUUGCUACCUCAACUCAAGGAGGAAGCAUUGAAACCUACAUCACCAGCGUAUGAUGCGACUGAUCGGCCACCUCGUGGCCGAGACAGAGAGGCAUAUCAGCCCGAAGUCCAGCCCGCACCCCGCCGCCAUUCAAAAAAAUACCAAGGCCCGGGGCAAUACGCGGGACCUGCGAGACGUAUUGGAAAACAAAACAAAACAUGCAAGGUCGAUCUACGGAUCACGGGGUCGCGCCCCAACACGUGA
rnacentral:rRNA from 1 species